UUUGCUCUUGGAUGUCGAUCUUCCAGACUGGAUCUCUGCACUUGCUCUAGGAAACAGUUCCAAGGAAAAGGUCCUGCCACAUGAAAGGUUGCAAACUAUUGCUGAACAGAUGGUAUCGUGAGAGAAGAGGGCACUCUGAAGAACCCAACAAGCAGCACUUUGAAUUGGGAGAGUGCUUUGGGCCCCUGGCUGGUGGCAGUAUGAGUCACCCGGAGGGAUAACGAGAAAUGAAAGAUCAGAGACGAGGCACCAAAACUGAGAACUAGCUUGGUGCCCAAACCCACAAGGCAGCUCCAAUUUUAGUCCUCUCGUGUGUUCGCCUUGCAAGCAAAAACUAAACAUCCCAGACUCUUCAGCAACCUCAGCACUGGUGUGGCAACAACCGAAGCUAGUUGGCCCCACAGAACGAACGGCAGUUGCUCAGCGCAAAUUCCAGCAGUGAGAAUUGAGGCUAUCCGAUCAGGAGCUCGCCGUUGU